rnacentral:rRNA from 1 species
UAGGGAAUCUUCCGCAAUGGACGCAAGUCUGACGGAGCAACGCCGCGUGAGUGAAGAAGGAUUUCGGUUCGUAAAACUCUGUUGUUAGAGAAGAACAGCGCAUAGAGUAACUGUUAUGCGUGUGCCGGUAUCUAACCAGAACGCCACGGCUAACUACGUGCCAGCAGCCGCGGUAAUACGUAGGUGGCAAGCGUUGUCCGGAUUUAUUGGGCGUAAAGCGAGCGCAGGCGGUCAAUUAAGUCUGAUGUGAAAGCCCCCGGCUCAACCGGGGAGGGUCAUUGGAAACUGGUUGACUUGAGGGCAGAAGAGGAGAGUGGAAUUCCAUGUGUAGCGGUGAAAUGCGUAGAUAUAUGGAGGAACACCAGUGGCGAAAGCGGCUCUCUGGUCUGUAAAGGACGCGGGGGCUCGAAAGGGUGGGGAGCGAACAGG